GACAGAGGUGCCAAGCGUUAGGCGGAAUCACUGGGCUUAAAGCGUGUGUAGGCGGAUGCCUAAGUACCUUGUGAAAUCCCACGGCUCAACCGUGGAACUGCUGGGUAUACUGGGUGUCUUGGGUCAGCUAGGGGUUGCCGGAACAAAUGGUGGAGCGGUGAAAUGCGCAGAUAUCAGGAGGAACACCGGUGGCGAAGGCGGGUCUCUGGGCAGUAACUGACGCUGAGGAGCGAAAGCGUGGGGAGCGAACAGG
rnacentral:rRNA from 1 species